UUUUCUGCAAAAGUAGCUGCUUUUGCGGAAAAUCAUGCUAGUCUAGAUGCAACCACUUAGUUUAGGCAUGUGUCCAUGUUGCUGGUUUUAUUUUGAAAAUAAAAAUGCAAAACUAAAGUUAAUAUACUGAAUAUUACCGAUAAUGCAAUAUAAAAUAUUUGAGUUUUCAUAGGAGAGUAGCAGUUGACCAAUCAGAGUAACAAGAGAACUCCAUGCAAAAAGGAUAGCAUGAAGAAAACCCAGAUACAUCUCUGGUGAAAGAGAUGAAGGGAGAUGAAAACUUAUUUUUCCCUGGCUGCAGAUUGUCAUAGAAAACCACUGAUUUUUUUUUUAGGCUUUGAUCAUUUACAAUACUUACAUAUAUGCUUAACUUCACACAAUGAGUAGUUCAGUUGAUUUAGUGUAUUAUCUCUCAAGCUCCAAAAAAUAAAGCUGAUUUCACGGAUCAGGCCUAAUUUCACCUGGACAUGUUUGUACAAGAGGCUGAGUUAAUAGCCUCUAUUCAGUUGUCAGUGGGGAAGAAAAAAGUGGCUGUGAAGGAGGUUGUAAACUCCUACCACUGUCAAUAAUGCUGAAAACACACACAAUCCUGCAUUAGCAUUAUAUCAAAACACUUUACUAUGUUGAUUAUAUUUUUAAAAACUUAUUGAAAAUAUAGAAUUUCAUUUUAAAAUGUAAUGUUUUGCUGAGCAACAGCACAGUUUUGGGCUUUACAGGUCCUGUUGGGAGCAGAAGUCAGUGACUUGGAAUUUGGUAUUGUUUUAGUGUAAUUUUCACAGAAGAUGAAGAAAUGAGAGACACUCAAGGGCUCAUGGGCACCUCUGGAAGUCUAGUCCAUCCCACUGUGCUGAGGCAGAAAACAAAAUUACUUAUUAGAGAAGAGUGGUGAAGCAGUUAAAUUACAUUUACCUGCGUGGGAAUUAAGAUGCACUUGAUGCUCCUCCCAGAGGUUGGUUGUAUACGGAUAGCUGCAUCCCAUCAAAGUCUUCCCUAUAUUUGGGCAUACUAGGACAUCCAUGACAUCUUGAGCAGUGUAUACAUGUCAGUUUCCAGAUCCCAUUCUGGUUCACCUGGGAUAUUCCACUGGAACAAGAUAGCAUCAUCAUGUUUUGGACUGUUUGUUUAUUCUCAUGAGUAGCCACUGGACAUCAAACUACUAUCAAAAUUAAGGGAAGCUUAGAAUCCCAAUUUUCCCCCAGGGACAUCAAUUGCCUUUUCAACAUGUUUUUGAUGACCCAGUUUCAUUUUUCAACCCCGAGGCCUGGGGAUGUCCAGCUAUGUGAAAUUGUUCUUCUGUGUUCAAAGGAAAGAAUAGUUGUUUCAUAAGGUCCCCGGUGAAGUGGGGCCCUGAUCAGAAUCAAUUUCAUUUGGGAGGCCAAAUCUAAUGAAGGUAUUGCAUAAAUGCAUACAAUUCCCAAUGAUAUUAGUAGAGAUUCUUAUGCAGUGUGAGGUCAGAAUAGGGUCUAUAUAGAACACUUUAGACCCCUUUGUAUUUAACUAUUGAAAGUAUUUGUUUGUUAGGAAAGUAAAUUAUAGAUAGAUGAUGUAAAAACUAACUAUGUACUGUAUUGAACAAAUACUGCUUCUAUAAUUUUUUUUUAGAGAAAAAGAUCAUCUGCUUUACAUUUCACUAUGCUAUUUAGCUUUUUUGGUAAAAUACCAGAAGUAUACUUACUAAAGUAGGUCAACAGUUUAUUUGAUGCCUCUCUUAAGAACAACUUUUUACAGUACUGUGUAUGUGUUAUGAUUAAAACAUUGAGUCAUUUCUGUCACCAGCUGCAGAGUAUUUUUAGUUGCUUUCACAUUAGGUGCAGAAUUAUUUAAUUUUACUUGUGUU